rnacentral:rRNA from 1 species
UGAAUACGAGAUGCUACGGCGUCGAAGCAGUCUAUGUCAUACUUCCAAGAAAAGCUCGCACUGUCAUAAACAAAUAAUGCCUGUACCAUAACCGACACAGGUGGGUAGGUAGGGUAUACUAAGGGGCGCGAGAUAACUCUCUCUAAGGAACUCGGCAAAAUGACUCCGUAACUUCGGGAGAAGGAGUGCCUUAUUUAUAAGGUUGCAAUAACAAGAUCCAAGCAACUGUUUAUCAAAAACACAGGUCUCCGCUAAGUCGUAAGACGAUGUAUGGGGGCUGACGCCUGCCCAGUGCCAGAAGGUUAAAGAAGUUGGUUAGCAUUCGCGAAGCUGAUAACUGAAGCCCUGGUGAACGGCGGCCGUAACGAUAGCGGUCCUAAGGUAGCGAAAUUCCUUGUCGGGUAAGUUCCGACCCGCACGAAAGGCGUAAUGAUUUGGAUACUGUCUCGGAGAGGGGCUCGGUGAAAUAGACUUGUCUGUGAAGAUGCGGACUACCUGCACCAGGACAGAAAGACCCUAUGAAGCUUUACUGUAACUUGAGAUUGAAAUUGGACUUUACUUGCGCAGUAUAGGUGGGAGGCGUUGAUAAUAUUCUUGCGGGAUUAUUUGAGCCAUCAGUGAGAUACCACUCUUGUAAUGUUAGAUUUCUAACUUUGUAUCAUUAUCUGGUCAAAGGACAGUUUCAGGCGGGCAGUUUGACUGGGGCGGUCGCCUCCUAAACGGUAACGGAGGCGCACAAAGGUUUCCUCUGAACGGGUAGAAAUCGUAUCUAGAGUGUAAAGGCAUAAGGAAGCUUGACUGUGAGACCUACAAGUCGAGCAGGGACGAAAGUCGGUCUUAGUGAUCUGACGGUGCUGAGUGGAAAGGCCGUCACUCAACGGAUAAAAGUUACUCUAGGAUAACAGGCUGAUCUCCCCCAAGAGUUCACAUCGACGGGGAGGUUUGGCACCUCGAUGUCGGCUCAUCGCAUCCUGGGGCGGUAGUACGUCCCAAGGGUUGGGCUGUUCGCCCAUGAAAGCGGUACGCGAGCUGGGUUCAGAACGUCGUGAGACAGUUCGGUCCAUAUCCGGUGUAGGCGUUAGAAUAUUGAGAGGAGCCUUCUUUAGUACGAGAGGACCGAGAAGGACAUACCUCUGGUGUACCAGUUAUCGUGCCAACGGUAAACGCUGGGUAGCUAUGUAUGGAGUGGAUAACCGCUGAAAGCAUCUAAGUGGGAAGCCCACCUCAAGAUAAGUAUUCUC